rnacentral:rRNA from 1 species
AUUAAGCCAUGCAUGUCUAAGUGUAAAUGUUGUACAGUGGAACUGCGGAUGGCUCAUUAAAACAGUUAUGGUUUGUUUGGGGUUAGUAUCAGCGGAUACCCGUGGAAAUUCUACGGAUAAUACGUUGUGAUCGGAUUUGCAUAUUGAUGCGAACCGUUGGCGGUUGACGUCACUGGAGAACACCUUUAUGCGUGUAUCGCUCGAUUGGGCGGAUUUCCAUCAAAGUUUCUGACCCAUCAGGUCUCGACGGUAGGGUAUUGGCUUACCGUGCCGACAACGGGUAACGGGGGAUUAGGGUUCGGUCCCGGAGAGGAAGCUCGAGAGACGGCUACCACAUCUAAGGAAGGCAGCAGGCGCGUAAAUUACCUAUCCUUGAUACGGGGAGGUAGUAAACAGAAGUAAUGACGUGCAAUUAAAUUGCGCGAUCGGAAUGAGUGGCGUUGAAACAUCGCCGCGAAUUCGAUUGGAGGAAAAGUCUGGUGCCAGCACCCGCGGUAAUACCAGCUCCAAUAGCGUAUAUUAUUGAUGUUGCAGUUAAAACGUUCGUAGUCGGAAUUUAUCCGCUGAGCGUCAUCGUACUGAUGUAUGGUGACCUAUGGUGGAUGGAUGUGUGCGGCACACGAUUGGGCUCGCAUGCAUUACUUUGAGUGAAUCGGCGUGUUCCACGCGGGCUAUUGCCUGUACGAUUUACCAUUGUAUGAUAAUAGUGUGCAUUCAGGCUUGGCGCGGUUCGGGUCUGUUUGCUAUACGGAGAAGAACGGUUGGGGGCAUUCGUAUUCAGCUGCUAGAGGUGAAAUUCUUUGAUUAGCUGAGGACGGACUACGGCGAAAGCAUCUGUCAGUGACGUGUCUGUUGAUCAAGAACGGGAGUUGGGUGAUCGAAGAUGAUUAGAUACCGUUGUAGUCCUAACUGUAAACGUUGCCAUCCGAGCGUCGGGUUGGAGUAGCUAUGCCUUUCCGGCACUUUCAGAGAAAUCUUGAGUCUUUGGGUUCUGGGGGGAGUAUAGUUGCAAGGCUGAAACUUAAAGGAAUUGACGGAAGGGCACCACCAGGAGUGGAACUUGCGGCUUAAUUUGACUCAACACGGAGAACCUUACGAGGGUAAGACAAACGAAGGAUUGACAGAUUGAGCGCUCUUUCUUGAUUGUUUGGGUGGUGGUGCAUGGCCGUUCUUAGUUCGUGGAUUAAUUUGUCUGGUUAAUUCCGUUAACGAACGAGACCUUAACUUGCUAAUUGGAGUGCAGUAAUUCUUACUGAAUCCUCUUAGAAGGACCAUGUGUCUCUAACACAAGGAAGCGUGAGGCAAUAACAGGUCUGUGAUGCCCUUAGAUAUCCUCGGCAGCACGCGUGUUACAAUGGAGUGUGUAACGUGUUACGCCUUUCGGAAGACGGGCGGAAGCAUCAGUACACUUCGUACCAGGGAUUGUCCGUUGAAAUGUCGGACAUGAACUAGGAAUUCCUUGUAAGCGUGUAUCAUCAGUGCGCGUUGAAUACGU